ACUUAACAAUACUGUAGCGUUAUCUAUGAUAAUAACUUAAUACAAUGAUACAGGUUUAUGUGCAAAAGUACUAUACUAUGUGAAUGGGGGACGGGGGCUGAUUAACUUACUACAGCAUAUCACACAACGAUAGAUUAUAAAGUGCACAAGAAGAGGUCAGCAGGCAUACACAGUCAUGUAAAAAUGUCAAAAAUUGUUACAGCAUUGACCGGUGGACUUAAAAAAAAAAGCAGCUGUUGAUACACUUUAAUAAUAGACAGAUUUAAGAAAGAUGACACAGCAAACUCACAACGCGGUCUCAUUUCAGCUAAAAAUGAGCAUUAAGGAACUUGAUUCCUGUUAUAUUUGAAAAUAAUUUUACCGAAACAGCCAGCCUGGACUAAUGUUUAUAGCUCUAUUUCACACGGGAAGGCUGGGACCCAGCCGAUUUGGAUCGCUGUACUUCCAAUUUCGAAUGUGUACUUUCCAUAUAUAAUGUCAAUAAAUAUUUCCUGCCAAUAGAAAAACCUGUCUAGUGCACGCCUAUAGGUCUUGGCAAACAGCUAUAUGAUCGGGAAAAAAUUUCUGCUAUAACGCAGAUUUCUUGCAACAUCUCUAACGGCGCAUCAAGCUUUCAAGUUGCUCGAAAGAGGUGAAAAUCGUAUAAUUGUGUGUUCAGUAUCACAAUGGAUACAACUCAUUCAUACUUUUUGUCUCAAGAAUUUCUUUGUUUCAAUGGCGCUUCUUCGAGGUCGCCUCGUUUUUUCUAAACCUGUCUAAUGUUCUCAGAUGUGAACACUAUAAUGAGGAACCAAUUCAGGUCAUGUAUCAGAAACAGAUUAUAAGAUAAAAAUUAGUUUUACGUUUGGGUCCAAUCAACCAAGGGUUUCUGCUUGCAAGUCUGGAACGUACAUAUAAUUUUAGUAUACAUUCCAAGCUGUUCACCUGCACAGCACUGUUAUCAAUGAUAAAUAAACGAUAAUGCUGUAACAACAUGUCGUAGUAAUGGUGGGGUAAAUAGAGCCUUCCUCUGUAUUUACAGAACUGAUCAAUGAGCAUUGUUUUGCUUUGAAGCAUGAUAAUUAGUAAAACAUGGUGCACAACUUUGCUUAGCGAAAUUUUAACUUAAAAAUGUUAACUACAGGUGGCGUUCACUACGCAGUAGCGUCAAAUAGGCGGCGGUCAACCAGUUGUUCUCAGAAGAAAUAUAACGUUAAUUAUUUUCAAUAUUUGUUGCUUAAUAAUACACCAAAAUAAUACACAUGAAAAAAUGAACAGUGUAAUUUUAUCGAAAUCCAGUCCAAGAAACGAAAUACGUCACAAGCCUAAACAAAAGACAUUUUGAAUAAAGUUUUGACUUUUGACAGUUGAAAAUGUGUAUUAAGUUGUUGUACAAUUCAAAUGAGUGAGUAAAACUCACUGUGUUUCAUGCAUGCAACUGAUCAUGAAUUUGCUUCUGUAUAAUUUUUCAUAUACUGUAUAGUAUUAGUAAGUAAUAGUAUGGUUUCUCGUGCAAUUCGGGAAACAUACACUUGUGAAUUUUUCAAAGAUUUCAAAUUGCACUCGACCUUCGGACUCGUGCAAAUUGGAUCGUCUUUGAAAAAUUCACUCGUGCAUGUUUUUUUCCUAAAUUGCACCGGAAACCAUACGAUUACGUAUACGAAUAAACAAAGUGAAGAGAUCUAUUCUAAUUUGUUUGUUCCUAUAAAUUUCUGACAUCGACUACCAUCUGCUUUCUAGGAUAUCAUACUGAAAUCCACCAAUAUUAAGACGUUCUCCAAGGUGAACACAUGCAGUUGUAACGUGGAAGAUACCACCCCGAAUGUUCUGCACUUCUUUAGCUCAUUCCAAUCUUUGAGGGCGGAAGUUUGUAUUCCAAAAGAGGUCACAAAUAUAAACUAGAGAAGGCUUAGAGAUUUCAGUACGCCAGUAAAAUUGAAUGCUGAAUUUUGGGCAAAGGAACGCACUUGAACGAAGAACAUCGAUUUCAAUUCCAUCACGAAACGUGAUGUAAAAAAUAUUGCAAUAUAUAUGAUGAAAAGUUCCCAAUUUUGGAGAGAAGCCUUUCCAGUUUUCAUGUCUAAGCCUUCUCUAGUUUAUAGUACUGUUUACAUGACCCCACCUUGCCGGGAGGAGAUGAGAGGCGGAAUGAUUUUGAUGUUUUGAAAUAAGUCACGGUUCACGGUUCACCAUACAGUAACUGCAUUAUUUUCCUAAUUAAAAAUUAAAGUAUAACUGUAAACGAAAGGUUGUUCAAACAACAGUAAUAAUCUCCUUGAACUACGAAAUCUUCUCGCCAACAUUUCGGUUACUUAUUUCGUCGCUUGAACUUUUCUUUAAGCGCAGUGACAUAUUUCAAUACAUCAAAAUCAUCCUGUCUUCUUCCAAUCAGCCAAACAGGAUCUGUAAACAGCCCCUUUCAAAGGUAAUACUUCCUGACAAUUGUGUCUGCAUGGGUAAAGGAAUGCGCUUCCUUCACGGAAGUCAUAGUGUACGUAUAUGCAUGUGCUUGGUAUCUUAGAGUAAUGCAUGACACUCAAGGUAUCACUGCAAUAUGUUAGUUAAAUUAGUUCACCAACAGGUUGGUGAUUAUAUAUACAUCACGGUUCAAUGGUUGACUUUACAACUUCACGUUAGGAUGAUGCACUAAAAGAGAUGAAACAAACCCGCAAUAAGAAAUCAGCUCAUUUUAAACCACACGACUUAUUCUAAAUAUAGGUAUAUGUGACAGGCAUGCGACAUCACUCCGUG
rnacentral:lncRNA from 1 species